rfam:Rothia dentocariosa ATCC 17931, complete genome.
GAACCUCAUGAGACCAGGCCGUCGCACCCCAUGCGGCGGCAUCACUUCGACGAAGAAGGA